AACAAAGAAACAAGAUUUAGUCAGAGAUGAAAUCUUGUAAGAUUUAUCUUUUCUUUGUUGUUGCUGUGAUGGUGAUGCCAAUGGUUACAUUUGCCUGUAAUCCUGGGAAAUGGCUAGUAAGUGACCUACAGUUGAAAAUUAUAGAUUACAGAGGAGGUUAGAUAUCUCUCUAUAAAUAACCUUAACCUCCGAAUCGGCGACAGGUUCCGUAUAUAGUGGAGUGCAUCUUAAGCAUUAUGCACCCUGAGAAUAUCUGUUGAUAUGAUGUUAUCAUAAGUUUAUGAAACUGAAUUUGAUUUGUAGGAUAUAUAACGAAUCAUAAUUUUGUUAAUUCUCAUGAUUCUAUUCUCUAAUCCUAACUCCAAUGCAAAACUCUCCUUCCUUUCUAUAUACCGUAACAUGAAAUAUCUGAAUGCUGAGAUGAAUCGAAAUAGAUUCAAAAUAUUCAGUUUUUAAAAUAGAUGUAUUGUUAAAAUGCAUACUUUUUUCGUAACCACUACCUACACCGGCCCUCCUUAUAAAUCCCUGCUGAAGAAGAUUCGGUUAGGUCGAAACGCCUACAGGGUUUCCCUUCUCAAUAUUCAAUUUCAUUCUCUCUUUCUUAAACUUUUCCUUCUUCAAUGGACCAUUUGCAUUAUAGACUAAAUUUUGAUCUAGACAAAAAUUUCAUCACAGCUUGAAAGAGCAUCACAAAAUUAGUAAUAUUCCGCCAAAGUUUCGUUACGAAAUGUUGUAAAAUGCGGAUAAUAUAGCCUUGCGAAGUUUGCAAUUUUCAGUCAUUUUAUAGAUUACAAACGGGAAAUUGAUGCCCCAACACCCGAUUGCAUGGGCUGUCAAUUUCCCGGGCGUAAUACAAAAUGAUUGAAAAACGACAAACUUCGCAUGGUUAUAUUAUCCGCAUUUUACAACAUUUCGCAACGAAACUUUGGAAUAUUACUAAUUUUGUGAUGCUCUUUCAAGCUGUGAUGAAAUUUUUGUCUAGAUCAAAAUUUAGUCUAUAAUGCAAAUGGUCCAUUAUGUCUCAUUAAUCUUUCACCUAAUUUUAGUUUCUGCAUGUUUGUUAUUUCCCUAGUUUCUUAAAUAUAGUCACCACAAGUAUAGUCGGAGUACAGCCUACAGGAUAAUAAUUAUUAUUUAUACCAACAAUCCAAAAAAGGCCGCGAGACUUUAGAAGCCAACCAAAAUAGCUUGUAUAGUAGAUUGCAAAGUAGCUCUGUGCAAUGAGGAUAUCUGGAGCUGAAUAACCAAUCAAAUUGAGUGAAAAGCACUAUCUAUCUCCCGAGUAUAUGCUAAUUCCUGAUAUCAUACUUAUAUAGCUUAUCCAAUCAGUGUCGCCGAGAGGUUGCGCGGGGCACGGGGUAAUCAGUUAAAACGUUUCAAGGGGGCCUUUACUACGACGUAUAAAAAAAUGUUCUUUAUCAUAAACAUUAUAUAUCUUUCGGGUAUACGUACAUAUUUUAUAUUUAUAAACAUAAAUAUGUUAUAUGCAGUUGGCAGAAACGUCCGUGACAAUUGAUAAGAACAUCGGUAUUAUAGUACAUUAUUUUCUUUAUUUUGCUUUAGAGUCGCACUAGUUGCAGGUUGAAUCAAUCAUGCGGUACGGUAGACGAUCCGCCUUGUGGUCACUGUCCUCAACAUGGUGAGUUGAAAUGUGCGCCAACAGGUUGCGGCCCAUCCUCACCAAUGAUGUGUGUUAAAAUCAGUCAGGGACACCCAGGAAGAUGUCCCAGUGGAUGAGUGUGAUAAGAAAAUAUCCCCCGAAAUUAGCAUAACUUGGCAAGCAAAUGUUAUAUAUACGCUUAUAACAUGAACUCCAUAGACAUAUAGGUAGAAAACUGAAACUUUAGUAAAAAUGUGCAAAACUUUUAAAACAGAUUCCAGAUACUUUACCAGUAAAAUGUCUAGAUGUGAUUAAACUAUUCAUAUGGC